GUGCUUAAAGAGUUAAAUAUGAAACGAUUUCAAAAUAAAAAUUUCGCAGAAAAUACUCCUGUCAACGUAAUAUAAUUGUUUUGUACUUUAUUUGACAAAGGGUCAUAUAAUGGAAAAUUUCUACAAAGUGAAAGUUUGUCCAUUAAGUAAAAUAGAGUGGAAGAAGGCAUCGCAAAGACUAAACUGCACAGACGAUAUGGAUAAUCCUGUAAACAGAUACCACUGUCUUCCUGUCCAUAACUUAACUGCAUUAGUAGAGUUCUGCUAUAACCAGAUCAGACCUCGAGUUGUGAAAGGAUUGUGUAUGGUAUAUGUACAAGGAAUUAAAACCAUUAACAAUUACAACUGCUCAAAUUUUGAAGAAGGCUGUCCCGAUACCAACUACUUUAGCGAUGAAUCGUAUAAAUUCUCAAGAUGCAUACAAAUUGACCCAACAAGGCGCUGCUAUCUUGCAGAACUCUCAUGCAGACCGGACACACAUAACUAUAACAGGGUGCCUGUUGCUUGGUUUAUAUCCUCAGCAGCAGUAAUUGUUGUAAUUCUCAUGGGAAUUGCUGCUACUUGUACAUGGAGAAGAAGAGGUUGCCAUAAAAGGACAGAAAUUACCAAUACAGUCGAACUUAAUAGCCUGAUUGAUGAUCCAGAACCACCUCAUGAAAAUAUAAUGGGAUGGAGGCAGCUCUCAUCAAAUGGUUUUGAGAAAGACAUUGUUUUGUCAGAAAUUGAUGGAAAGCAAAUAACAGAGGUGACGCAUAUUUCCCGUGUUACAUCUGAAAUAAUGUGGAUAGAAAACAAGGAUUGGUUUAUGAAAAUAGAUCACAGUGGCAGAAUUUUGUUUAAACAUAAAAUUAAUGUAUAUUGGGGAUGUUCUUCUUUUACGGUGGAUGAAAAUGGAGACGUUCUCUACAUCAAUGGAGACACAGAAGUGAUGAAAAUAUCAUCAACAGGAGAAAAUCCUACACAGCUGAUAAAGAAUAAAGGUCAAUCAAAAAUUAUAAAUAUCUGCUCUACAAGAUUAGGAGGAGAAGUACUGCUUCGAGUUCUUGAUCAAAAGUCGAACAAAUAUUGGACAUAUAUAGCCAGAUACAACAAAAACGGAGAACAUCUGUUUCAAUUCGAGUACCAAAAUUACGAAAAACUGCAUACUUCUCCUUGGUUCCUAUCAGUUAAUAUAAAUGGUGAUAUAUGCGUUUCAGAUCAGUUUGAGUCUGAAGUUGGAGCUUUUGAUGAGAAAGGAAAUAAGCUUUUUACCUACAAAGGUCGUCCGCCUCAAGAUUUCAGCCCUACAGGAAUUUGUAAUGAUUUUCUUGGACACGUGCUUGUGUGCAACGGGUCCAAUCCCAGUGUUCAUGUGCUUGAUAUGAAGGGCAACUUUUUUGCAAUAAUCAUACAAGAUAUAGAAGAUGUCAAAGAUCCAUGGGGAUUGUGUGCUGAUGACAACGGGAAACUAUUUAUUGGUCAAAAAAAUUUCGGCAUGAUCAAAGUGUUUCAAUAUCUUAAAAACAGCUAAAUAAUGUUUCUCCAUCCUCAUUGUCUCUACCUUCAUAUUUCCUUUUAUCAGUUAUUUUCAUCCCUAAUUGAAGACUUCGUUAUAGUAACAAUUUCGAUUGAAAGGAUCUUUCUUUCCAAACAGAAGACCAUUUAAAUACAUGUAUCCUGCUUUUUCCUUUUAUAAUCACCAUGAACAGGUAUUCUCUUGGGACGCAAUACCCUCUUGAUUUGUCUAUAGUUUACAUUCUUAAUUGCAGGCAACAGCGUUUUUACUGUGUCAUGGAAUAAUAUGAACAAUAACCAUAACUUUGCCAUCAUACUAAAACUCACUAAUUCUUUGUUGCGUUAAGGAACCAUGCCAACAAUUUAACUCUAGAAAAGUGCAUACAAUAUCAAACAUAAGAAACUAAAAAUAUUGCAAUCAAACUAAAACAAUACCAGUAAUGGCACAAGUUCUAAACAAUUAUGCAAAUGCUUACUGGUUCUCUAUUAUAAAAAGGAAGCAUACUAAUAUUUCUUGUUAAUUAAAAAUAAUAGGCUCAGUGUUCAACAAUAAUAGACCAAAAAGUACAAUUCUAGAGAAUUUUUAAAAUAUCAGUCAGGUUCCAAAUAACCCC
rnacentral:sRNA from 1 species